rnacentral:rRNA from 1 species
AUUGAACGCUGGCGGCAUGCCUUACACAUGCAAGUCGAACGGCAGCACGGGUGCUUGCACCUGGUGGCGAGUGGCGAACGGGUGAGUAAUACAUCGGAACAUGUCCUGUAGUGGGGGAUAGCCCGGCGAAAGCCGGAUUAAUACCGCAUACGAUCUACGGAUGAAAGCGGGGGACCUUCGGGCCUCGCGCUAUAGGGUUGGCCGAUGGCUGAUUAGCUAGUUGGUGGGGUAAAGGCCUACCAAGGCGACGAUCAGUAGCUGGUCUGAGAGGACGACCAGCCACACUGGGACUGAGACACGGCCCAGACUCCUACGGGAGGCAGCAGUGGGGAAUUUUGGACAAUGGGCGAAAGCCUGAUCCAGCAAUGCCGCGUGUGUGAAGAAGGCCUUCGGGUUGUAAAGCACUUGUGUCCGGAAAGAAAUCCUUGGCCCUAAUACGGUCGGGGGAUGACGGUACCGGAAGAAUAAGCACCGGCUAACUACGUG